GUCGUAAUCAGUUGCAAAUACUACGUGGGAUGCACUUCCAGCAACACCUGUAAUUAAAAUAAUGCUGUUAAUUAAUCAUGAUUAAUUAAAUGAUUAAAAAUAAAAGAUGAAGUUAGAUGGUUUUUAUGAUAUUUAAAAAGUUGCAGGUGGAGUUUGAAAUGUAUUUUUUUUUUUUAAAUACUUACUCAAAGGAAAACGAACUUGCAUACGACCUGGUACACUUGGUUCUGGUACAGACAAUUCACCAGUGUAAUGAUACUCGUGUUUCAGGGGCGUGAGACCUACAACAAUACAAUAAAUUUAUAUAUGUUACAUAUCGCUCCUAAAUAGUAGAUCGUUAUAGUACAAUAGAUCCCACUUUAUCGGCAUUUAUCUCAUUGACGUCUUUUUGCUCAUAUCGACCUCUUCAUGAAGCUUGACGAGAGCUAAUCGAGCUAUGCAUGACGCAUGCUCAUUAAAUUUUUAUGGAGGACAAUUUAAAUCAUAUUCGAUAACUUUUCUUAGUAUUUUCACAUUAAAUUUAUGUCACUUCAUUUGUGAAAUUAUGUGAAUAUAUUCUAGUAUAUAUCAUUAAGAUGAUAAAGUUAUUAAUUACUUCAAUCUUGGUAUUAUGAGUCAGAACUUGGACUCUAAAUUAUAAUCAAACUUUAAAUGAGAUAGAUAAAUAUAGAUAAAUAUUUAUGAGAAAGAUAACAAAUGUUACCUAAAACAGGAUGGUUGGAUUGUUGAGUAAUUCUAUAUUCGCCAGGCUCCUCACCACGAGUGUAAUUGUAUCCAACACAUUUACUUCCGGUUGAUGUUUUUUGGAUGACAUACCAGUAGCCCAAGAACUAUAAAAAAUAUUUUUACCAUUAAUUCAAACGAAACAUGAGAUAGAAUUUUUAAAAAUAAUAAUUGUUGUAUUAAAACAAUUGUAGAUAAUUUUUUUUUAGAUUUUACCUUGCUCAUUUGAAAUCCUACCAUAGGUUCCACAAUUGGGCAUACUCCCAAGUGAUAAGUAUGAGCAUUUGCAAUCACCAAAAUGCUGGCCAAAAAGGCAAUAGCAGUUAUUGUCUUCAUCUAAUAAAAAAUGAAAAAAUUUUCUUAUUAUUAACAAUGAAAAA